CUCGGAGGAGUAAUGAACCAGCUUGGAUUUCUGAGCUGCCUCAUUAUAGACUCGUGUUACCUUAAUGAAUACCUACAUUUAUUCAUUUUUAUGAUGAUUAUGAUCAUUUUUGUGAUGUUUUAAAUUUUCUGCAGGGAAUAUUUGUAUUUAAAUUUGGGGUAAAGUUAAACUUCUGACAUGUGCUGAGCUAUUUUUCUUACACGAAAUCAAGUUGUAUUUGUGGAAUGAGUUGCUGAAUUAUGAAGUGAACUGCAUUCUCACUAAACUUGUUCCAAGUUCUUGUGGCAGCUCCUGCAGAGGUGUGUCCUGCCCCAGAGGUCCCCAAUGGGCUUCUGGUUCCAGUCAAGGCUGACUAUAACAAAGGAGAGUCCGUGCAGAUCCGGUGCAACCCUGGCUGCUCCUUCCCUGAUGGCUCUGCAGAGGUGACAGUGACCUGUGGAGAGCAGAGGUCCUGGGGUGCUUUACAGCACUGUGCCUGCGAGCCUAAAGGCUCCGGUUCCACACCAGUCAUAAAUUAUGGGAGAGUGGCAGCUGGAGAAAAAUCUUCCUAUUCUGUGGGAGAUUUCAUCACCAUCGAGUGUUACACGGGGUACACCUUGCAGGGGGAGCCUCGGAUUCAGUACACUGGAGACAACCAGUGGGUGCCAGCAGUGCCAAGCUGCCAGCUCAGUGGAUAUAUUAUAGCCAUCAUCUGUGUGAUUGUGGUAGUUGUGGCGCUCCUGGCUGCCUUCUGGAUCUACAAGAAAUUCUUCUCACAAAAUGGCUCGUACACAGUUGAUGAGAGUUGCAAGGAAACUUGUAUUUUAAAAGCUAAUGUCCCAGCUGAGAUGGAAGGAACUGCACAAAUGAAUUAAAGAAAAGGAAACGUGACAGCACUCCCAGUUCUGCCGAAUAUAAGAUGUGUAACCCAUGACUGACUUUUUUUUGGGGGGUUGGGAGGGACUUUGUGGUGGAAUAUCCCUGUCAGAGCUGGAAAAUGAUGAUUGCCCUUGCACUGAGUUGCUGUCCAUGAGUUCCUUGUGCUGUGUCUUGCCCUGCUGAUGAACUGGAGGAGGAGAUGCUUGAUAGGAUAAAAAGUGUGUGUGCUUAUAGAUAACCACAGAUCCUGCUUUGCCCUCGUUGUCCCUCUGUGAGCUUGGGAAAGGCAAUAGCUGCAGCAUGCCAGAGUCUGUGGGGAUGCUGCAAUUUCACUGCCCAGCCCUGCUGCCUUCAGUGCUGCCCCUUGCCUUACAGAAAAUGCCCAAUAUUCUCCUUUCCUGCAGGGCUCUGCUCCCUCAAACCUGGUUGUCCUUCCCGUCCCUUUUUGCAGUUGAGGUGGUGUAAAUGGUUCUGUUGUUUUCUGAGAUGUGCUGUUGCUCCUUCCCCGAAGGAUCUGGUGCCCUUGUAGGCCGUGUCUUUUUAUCAUGAUUAAGAUCUUAUAUACUCUACCUCUUUGUCUGCCAAAGCUGGUUGCUGUGUAUAUAAUGAAUUAAAGCGUGCCUUGAAAUCAGAGUUUUAUAGCUUUUCCUUUGCUUUAAAGAAGGAAAAAAGCCAUAUAUAUAUAUAUAUAUAUAUAUAUUUCUGAUUCUUUGCUAUAAUCCCCCAAAGACUGCAGUGGAUUUGUUGGAACUGAAAGCUGAAGGAUUCUGUAGCAAAGGCAUCCCCUGCCUGUUGACAGGAGGUCCUGGAUGAAAGGAACUGCUGAGAACUCAGUGGUGGCUGUGUCCUGCCAUGAGCACAGUGGAAGUUCCUUGGGGUGCUUGAUUUUAGUGAGCCUUGAUGUCAGUUCUGGAGAUCUUCUGUUGCUUUCAAGGAUAGAAACAGGUGCUGUGUGAUCCACCUUCCUUGCUUUUUUUUUUUUACUUGAAGUCACAUAUUGCACAUUUCUAACCUCUGCUGCAGACUGGGAUGUUAAAUCAAGCUCUGAAAAGCUGGAUUUAGCAUCAGAUUCCUGUUUGGAAGCAGGAGCUUUCCCCUGUCUCUCACUUUUCAUGUUAAAGGCGAACCAGACCAGUUCAGCUGUCUGAGUGCUGGUAGAUGUGGUGGUCUCUUGUUUUGCUGUUCGUUCAUCAAAUGUUUUUGUCCAGAUUCUGACUCCAGGAGCUCCCACCACGGUGCUUAUCAUUAGCAGAGACCCACUGCUACUUCUAAUUCCUCAGCAAACCCUAAAUCAUAACUAGAACAGGUCUUUAGCUUCGUGAAUCUCAUUAUCAGCAUUCAGGCAGCUUCUGAUUUUCACAGAAAACCCAAACAGCCUCACUUCAGAUGCCUGAGGCUGCAUUCAAACUGCUCUGGCUUGUCUGUGGCUGCUUGGCACUGCUCUCCCUGUCAUCAACAGAUUGUUGGAGUGGCACAGAACUGUUGAGGGCUUUUUGGGACAAUCCCAGCAGUCUCAUUGUUGGAGUUGAUAAUAGGCUGUGGUUGUUAGAAAGGGGCUUUGGCUCUGCAGGAGGAUUUGCUGUUGGUGGCCUGGCUGAUAUCUCAGUUUGAGAGGUGUUUGCAAACACUGGGAUGUGUGACUGGGGCUGAGUGUGCUGGUGGUCAGGAGCUCAGCUUGCUUUGUGUGGCAUCUGCAAUGUGCUGAAAUACACUGGAAUGUACUUUGUUGGGAAGUGAAAUCACUGUAAAAAGCGGCCUUUUUUUUACUCUUCUUUCUGGAUGUAAAGAUUAGCCAUGAUUUGUAAUAUUCCAAAUAAAAAUGUUAAAUUAUUUAGCAGU